AGCGAACGCUGGCGGCGUGCUUAACACAUGCAAGUCGAACGCGCAGUUUUCUGUAGCAAUACAGGAAGCCGGCGCGUGGCGAACGGGUGCGUAACACGUGGGCAACUUACCCUCAAGUGGGGAAUAACCCAGCGAAAGUUGGGCUAAUACCGCAUAACAUUCCGAUGGCUGCUGCUGUUGGAAUCAAAGGUCGCAAGACCGCUGGAGGUGGGGCCCGCGCCCGAUUAGCUUGUUGGUGAGGUAACGGCUCACCAAGGCUAUGAUCGGUAGCCGGUCUGAGAGGAUGGCCGGCCACACUGGAACUGAGACACGGUCCAGACUCCUACGGGAGGCAGCAGUGGGGAAUCUUGCGCAAUGGGCGAAAGCCUGACGCAGCAACGCCGCGUGGGGGAUGAAGCUUUUCGGAGUGUAAACCCCUUUCGACCCGGAUGAAUCCCCGCAAGGGAUUGACAGUACGGGUAUAAGAAGCCCCGGCUAACUACGUGCCAGCAGCCGCGGUAAAACGUAGGGGGCCAGCGUUGCUCGGAAUUACUGGGCGUAAAGGGUCUGUAGGCGGUGCGGCAAGUCGGAAGUGAAAUCUCAGGGCUUAACCCUGAGGCUGCUCCCGAAACUGCUG
rnacentral:rRNA from 1 species